GUAUUGCGGUGUAUCCUUCCCAAGUGGCGUGGAUGUGAAGAGACACACAGUUCCCCUGAUGUUCCAUGGGCGACCUACUUGUGAUGUGGACCUGACCCUCCGCCAUGUAGCAGACAACCCCCCUCAGGUAUUGUGGUGUAUCCUUCCCAAGUGGCGUGGAUGUGAAGAGACACACAGUUCCCCUGAUGUUCCAUGGGCGACCUACUUGUGAUGUGGACCUGACCCUCCGCCAUGUAGCAGACAACCCCCCUCAGGUAUUGCGGUGUAUCCUUCCCAAGUGGCGUGGAUGUGAAGAGACACACAGUUCCCCUGAUGUUCCAUGGGCGACCUACUUGUGAUGUGGACCUGACCCUCCGCCAUGUAGCAGACAACCCCCCUCAGGUAUUGUGGUGUAUCCUUCCCAAGUGGCGUGGAUGUGAAGAGACACACAGUUCCCCUGAUGUUCCAUGGGCGACCUACUUGUGAUGUGGACCUGACCCUCCGCCAUGUAGCAGACAACCCCCCUCAGGUAUUGCGGUGUAUCCUUCCCAAGUGGCGUGGAUGUGAAGAGACACACAGUUCCCCUGAUGUUCCAUGGGCGACCUACUUGUGAUGUGGACCUGACCCUCCGCCAUGUAGCAGACAACCCCCCUCAGGUAUUGCGGUGUAUCCUUCCUAAGUGACGUGGAUGUGAAGAGACACACAGUUCCCCUGAUGUUCCAUGGGCGACCUACUUGUGAUGUGGACCUGACCCUCCACCAUGUAGCAGACAACCCCCCUCAGGUGAGAUGUAUUUCCCUAAACUCC